rnacentral:rRNA from 1 species
AUGGCAAAAUAUUUCUGCAGCAGCUCACUUGACAAAAAGGCAUUGCAUUGGGUUUCCUGGAAAGAAUUGGCUACUCCAAAGUGCAAGGGAGGGGUGGGGUUUCGAGACCCGCAUCUUUUUAAUCUGGCCAUGUUGGGCAAACACGGCUGGCGUCUUAUCACCAAUCCAAACUCACUGUGUGCUCGAGUUCUAAAGGGUCGGUACUUUCCAGAUACUGAUUUCAUGCAUGCUACAAUCCCGAAAUCUGCAUCGGCCACUUGGAGGGCAAUAGUAGCAGGAAGAAGCGCCCUAAAGGUGGGUUUGAUAUCCAGGGUUGGAGAUGGAUCCACCAUCUCAGUUUGGGAGGACAAAUGGGUACCGGGGACGGCGUCCAUGACACCUACUAUGAGGCCCGUGGAUACAGUCAUUGAUCGAGUAUCGGACCUAAUCGAUACUGAUCAUUGGACUUGGAAACAUGACGUGAUUACGGAGAACUUCACCAUCCAGGAUGCCGCUGCCAUCCUAAACAUCCCCAUCAGGCAAGGUGGAGGUGAAGAUUUUCUUGCUUGA